rnacentral:rRNA from 1 species
UGAGGAAUAUUGGUCAAUGGACGCAAGUCUGAACCAGCCAUGCCGCGUGAAGGAUGAAGGCCUUCUGGGUUGUAAACUUCUUUUAUCUGGGAAGAAACCUCCGAUUUCUAUUGGAGCCGACGGUACCAGAGGAAUAAGCACCGGCUAACUCCGUGCCAGCAGCCGCGGUAAUACGGAGGGGGCUAGCGUUAUUCGGAAUUACUGGGCGUAAAGCGCACGUAGGCGGAUUGGAAAGUCAGAGGUGAAAUCCCAGAGCUCAACUUUGGAACUGCCUUUGAAACUCCCAGUCUUGAGGUCGAGAGAGGUGAGUGGAAUUCCGAGUGUAGAGGUGAAAUUCGUAGAUAUUCGGAAGAACACUAGUGGCGAAGGCGACUCACUGGCCCAUUACUGACGCUGAGGCGCGAAAGCGUGGGGAGCAAACAGG